CUUCAGUCAAAACGGUUACGACAGUUUCUAUGAAUGCUUCCUAAAUCUCUUAUCAUAUCUGUCCCUAUCAUCGUACGAAAGCGACGCGAGCGGUAAUUCGUAGUGUCACAUAAACAAAAAAAGGUAAAUCCAUACAUCUAUCACGAGCCAGUCGCUGGAGGGUUGAUCUCCCCCAAUUGAUGAAAGUUUUAGUCAUUAUUCUGAUGAAGCUGGGGUGACACUUGUUGUGCAGUGUUGAAAAUUCGCAAAUCGCUACUGUCGCGCGCUUUGAAUCCGAAAUGCGAUAAAUAUUGUACUGUUUUCGUACUGUUUAAAAAUAGUUAAAAGUGGUAAAUUUCUGUUGUCGUGAAGUAACACUAAAGGUGUGACGACAUAUUUCAAAAGUAUUUUUAUUCUUUUGGGAAUUGAAAACCAGUAAGAAGUGCAGUCUAAUUGUUCGGAAUAAAAAGUAAAAGAGCAGUUUUCAUUGCGGUUGAGAAUUGCUUCUAUUGUGCGACAAGCAUUAGCCAGGAUACCGAGAUAUAAGGAGCAACUGAAAAUAACCAAGAUGGCGACCGUCGCCGAGAGCAAAGCAUCGACGUCGACAGGGGCGGAUGCUGCAAUUCAACGACAACGGCAAAGCACAGGAACACUCUUUUCAACCACCAAUAAUACGUUUUGGUGAGGAUAACAGUAGACCUGCAUCAUUAACACCGGUACAACCACAAUUACUUAGUAACCCUUUUCCUGGUAAACCUGGAGGGCCACAAGUUCAACACGUUCCUGCUAGGCUAACCGUAGCACCAAGACAACAGUUUGUAGCUAUAAAAUCUCCCCAACAUCCUACAAGUCCUCGUGUUUACUACCAACCUGGAGUGAAACAAAUAAUGAAUCAUAAUGAAGCUGGACCUCAACGACCACCAAUUCCAUCCAUGUCACCGCCGAAUAUGCGCCCAAUGGUUCCUCCAAUGAGCCGACCUGGUGCACCUCCAGCUCCUAGACCAGUUGGUCCUCAGGGGUCACCGGCACCUGUCGCUCAAUAUUCAAGCUCCCCUAACAUUAGACCCCAAAUGCUGACCUCCCAACCAAUUCAACUCGGUAUGCAAAGGCCACCGAUGAUGCAGAACAAUAUGCGGCAGGGCACACCUACGAGACCGCCAGGAGUAAUGCCACAAAACAUGAGACCACCAGUUUCACCUCAAAACUCGAUCACCGGCAAUAACCAAUUUAUCAGAUCUGGAGCACCGCCUAUUCGUCAGACUGGGGCUGUCCCUUUACAAAUGUCACAUAUGAACGCCCCUCAAAUAAGACCCUCGCCUAUUCCCCAACAACUGAUAAAUAACAGACCUCCUUCGAUGCCAUUUAGAUCUACAAUUCAAAACAGUAAUAUUGGAGAGCAAUUAAUUUUGGAGCGAAGCUCACCCGAAAACAUGAAUAAAAUUCAGUCAGAUACAGUAUUAGGACAAAUUGACAGUCCUAGAAAUAGUUAUUUGUCAACAGAUGAUGACGAGGAUGUUGUUAUUGGAAAAAUCACUUCAAUGCCGUCGUCCAGAUCUCCGGAAGGACAAACCAGCCCAACUGCGAAAAAUGUUGCUUCUGUUCCUUUACACAGAACUGAUAGUCAAGCCUCCAUUCCAUCACGACCACCUUCAGCGCUAGGUAGUCUGAAUAGGAUACCCGAUACGAUGCAAAGAAACGCACAUUCCCCUGCUCAACCACUACAAUCAAGCGAAAUAGUAUAUAAGGAAAAACAUACAGUUUCUCCAAACAAUCCGCAGAACGGUCUGAGUUCUAUCGUGAGGGCUAAAACCUCAUCACCGGAACAAAUGCCAGAUACUGUUGAUCUCCAGUCAAAAGGUCGUUCGCAGACAACUAACUUUGCAAGGAUUGCUUCACCUACGGAACCACCCGCUUCUUUAGGGAGAACUAAGCCGCCAAUGCAAAGCACACCUAGUUCCGAAAGGGUUACCUUUGUUUUACCAGAGGAAACGAAUGGCAAUGUACCCCGGGAACCUAUGAGAAAAACGCCUAUUCCACAGAAUGUUCUUAUGAAACUCGACACGGAAUCGCGUGGUCGAAAUCCUAAUAAGAGUCAUCCUGCUAUAGACCGGACAUAUUCACCCAACAAUAAUAAAGGCGAUAAUGAUAGCGGAGUGGACGAGUCGACACAGGAAAAGGAGCGAAAUGGUCCAGGCUCUCCGGCCUCCCCACUAAAGUCUCCUAGCAAAAUUCCAUCAUUGCGUCGACCGGAUAGUAUAACUCCUCAAACACGAUCCAGAAGCACCUCAAAGCAACGGCUCACUGCAAAAACACCAGAAACUCCGACUGAGCCUCUUAUAAAAAAAGUACCAAUGAACAAAAUCCAGGUCGGUGCUACUCCAUCACCAAAUCUGAAGGUGGUCAAAUCAAAGAUAGGAUCCUUGGAAAAUGCAACCCACAAACCGGGUGGUGGACACGUGAAAAUAGAAACGAAAAAAAUAGACAUCAAAGCUGCACCAAGGAUUGAGGCGAAAAAUGAUGCUUACGUUCCGAAGGGUGGCGAUAAGAAGAUCAUCACAACCAAACUACAAUGGAAUGCCCGGUCUAAGAUUGGUUCAUUGGAAAAUACCAGCCAUAAACCAGGCGGAGGAGAUAAAAAAAUCGAAACUUUGAAGACAGACUUCAAGGAUCGUGCAAAAUCUAAGAUUGGCUCAAAGGAUAACAUCGGUUACCAACCCGGUGGCGGCGAUGUAAAGCCUGGAAGUGCCGCAGUUGUUGAGAAAAAAAGAAGAGCAAUUGUAAAUCAAAAGUUGGAUAUAAAAGCAGAAAGCAAAGUGGGAUCACUCGAAAACGUAAAACACAAGCCUGGUGGUGGCGACAUCAAGAUUUUCGACGACAAAGAGUAUCUGAAGCAAAUCGAUCAUCCUAUUGCACCCACUCCACCGUCACAGGAAUAUUUGUACAAGUUUUAUUAGGAUAAUUUAAAUCAAACUCGAUCCAUGUACAACAAGCAAGACGAAAGUUCGACAAACAAUGUCUAGUAAGGUUUAAGGUUAUUUGAUUACACGAUUUCAUCGGCUCCGGAAUACGAUAAAAACUUCUACUAUUAGUUGACAAAUUUUCUUUUGAAUUAAACAAAUGAUGCCAACACUAAGAAUAAAAGAAUAUAUCGAACAAGUAUAUACAGUGUAAUUCAAACCUGGUCCUGUUGAUUAGUUCUAAGUUUUGUAUUUUCUAAAAACAUUGAUCAAUUACACACAAAAUAGUGUUGCACUGGUAGCCUUUUUCCGCACCUUAUUGGAUUUAUGUUUAUUCUUUUUGGUAGAAGAUGAGUGCAACUAAUGGCUUAACACUAAAAGACCUUUCAUGGAAGUUAGCAUAGUGCGGUAUACUUUUCACGUUGUGAAUACUUUCUUUAAUUAUGAUCAUUAACCUACAAAGACAGUGUUGAUUGAAACAUUAAAGUUGAACAUUAUUUUUGUUUAGAGUGUUUUCUAGUCGAAUUUUCAGUUCAAAACAAACGCUUAAAGAGCGUUGUUGAAAGAUGAGACGGUUUCCUUCCAUUCUGUUGAUUAUAUUUCAUAAAUAUGAUUCAGUUAAAAGAAAUUAAAUCGUCGUUAUAACUUUAGAAGAGCUGUUACAUAUGUGCAGUUUAUUGAAGCCUCAUUGUAUUGGAACCAUAUGUUAAAUAUAUAUUUAUUCAACUCAUAACAAGAUUAUGUAACCGCCACCACUUGAAGAUGAGGUCGAAAUGAAAAAGAACGUAAGAAUCAAUCAUCUUUGAUAAACUGGUAACGAUAUAGUUCCAAAUAAUUUAUAAUGUACUAUUAAUUAUUAAAUAUUUUGGUAGAAUGAAUGAGAAAUAAAAUGCAUACCAGGAUGACAAA